ACAUGCAAGUCGAGCGCACAGAUAAGGAGCUGGCUCCUUUGAUGUAUUCGGCGGAGGGGUGAGUAGCACGUGGGUCACCUACCUAUAAGACUGGGAUAACUUCGGGAAACCGGAGCUAAUACCGGAUAACAUUUUGAACCGCGAGGUUCUAAAGUGAAAGAUGGUUUUGCUAUCACUUAUAGAUGGACCCGCGCCGUAUUAGCUAGUUGGUAAGGUAACGGCUUACCAAGGCGACGAUUCGUAGCCCACCUGAGAGGGUGAUCGGCCACACUGGAGCUGAGACACGGUCCAUACUCCUACGGGAGGCAGCAGGAAGGAAUCUUCCGCAAUGGGCGAAAGCCUGACGGAGCAACGCCGCGUGAGUGAUGAAGGUUUUCGGCUCGUACAACUCUGUUAUUAGGGAAGAACAAAUGUGUAAGUAACUGUGCACGUCUUGACGGUACCUAAUCAGAAAGCCACGGCUAACUACGUGCCAGCAGCCGCGGUAAUACGUAUGUGGCAAGCGUUAUCCAGAAUUAUUGGGCGUAAAGCGCGCGUAGGCGGUUUCUUAAGUCUGAUGUGAAAGCCCGCGGCUCAACCGUGGAGGGUCGUUGGAAACUGGGAAACUUGAGUGCAGAAGAGGAAAGUGGAAUUCCAUGUGUAGCGAUGAAAUGCGCACAGAUAUGGAGGAACACCAGUGACGAAGGCGACUUUCUGGUCUGUAACUGACGCUGAUG
rnacentral:rRNA from 1 species